UCAUGAAAUCGCUUCCAGUUUUUUCUUCUUCGGAUUGAAGUUGCAAUCAUUUCUGCUCUUCCAGUUUUAUCAAUCUCAGUUUCGGUCUCGUGCCUCUCAAUGAAGAACGCUGGUUGUUUUGGCUCAGCGCAGCCAUGAGGGUCAUUAAUGGAGCGGCAGUGGAGGCUUAAGUUUAGAGGUGAACCCUUAAGCUGACCAUCUUGAUGCAUCCUCAGAGCUGGAUAAGAAUCAUAUGUUCUUGUUAGAUAUGUGAAGGAUAUCUCAGUCUCGUUAGAAACAUAAUCGAAGCGGACAUCUGGACCAGAACCUUGUAGAUAAGUAUUUUUAAAUUCACCAUCCUCCCAAGGUCCACUUGUCCAGUGGAUAUUCCCUUGCCUUAGAAUGACCAUUUGACCUGUUUCAUUGAGGUCUAAUGUAAAUAAUCCUUCGGCCGGUAGCUCAUUAUUCCGCCAAGAAGUUAGUGACCAUUUGUCACCAGUCUUGAGAUUAAUUCCCAGUUUCAUUCCAGGUAGAAGUGCGUCUGUUGGGUUAUCAAAGCUUUGCCAUAAAAUAUGCUUAACAGACCCAUUUGGAUGCAGUUCUCGAAGCACCAAGUUCCCUGUAUUCAACAGAGUAACACUUGCGUUGCGUGUUACUAAUCGAGUUGGAUUGAAGAGAUCAAGAACAGUUCUUCCAGUAGAUAAGAUGCUGAGCUUUCCAUGACCAUCUAUGAUGAGCUUGCCGUUGAUAUCUGGGAUUGGGUUGUUUCUGUUUGCUACCCAAACUGCCAUAUUACUAAAGUCAUCAGAUACCUUCUUUUGGUAGUGGUCCGAAUUACGGAUUUCUUUGUUGUAGAACACCCCUAAAUAAGGAUGCACCAUAGUGCCAAAGCUAAAUAACUUCAAACAGAAAACCCUGUUAGAUGAAAUCAAUUCAUCCCAGUCCUUAAGCUCUUGGCCUUGAUGUAAGGUAUCUGUUUCUGAAUAACAAGGAUUGUUGAAUAAAAACCAAAAUAUAGUGAUGAAGAGGAAUAUUAUGCUUCCGAAUGCCAUUGUUUCGGGGUACACAGCUCCUCUCUGGGAUGAGAAGUGGUAUUAUCAUAUGAUUCUAAUUGGCAACUUUACUUGACUCAAGACUUCGUCAACAUAAAUUAGACAUCUGAAAGGGAUGUUAUAUUUCUACCCCUUUCUCCACGGCCAAGUUGUUAGGAUGCCUUCUGUAUGGCCUACAAACUGACUUUUGUGCAAAUUCAGAUUUUUUUUACUUGGGUUUUGGAUGUCUUACAGCUUUCUCAAGUUCGAGUUGGGUAGUAAGUUAAUUAUUUUCUACAAGUUUCUAUGAUUUGAAGGCGACUUAUUACAUCUUUGUUCGAAAAUUUGUUGAAUGAUUCUUUUUCUGAAAAACAAACAAAACAAUCGUUAAUGAAAAUAAUCCUCAAUCGAAUUUGCACAAAUCCGACUUCACAAGGCUCGAUGAAGGAAAACAAGUUUGUCAUUCUAACCUUUAAAAACCUAUGAUACAUAUAAUAAUUUUGGAUUGUAAUUGUGAAAUGGAUGAUUGUUUUUGGGUUAUGCAGAUUGAAUGUGAAUGGAUGUUCUGUA
rnacentral:lncRNA from 1 species